ensembl:lncRNA
GCCGGAGCCAGGGCGCCCGCUCGCAGGUGAAAGGGCAGCUGCGACUUGCCUUUUCUUCCCAAUCCAAAUGCAGCUUGCAAUCCAGAGCUGGAAGACUGGGAAAGGGAGGCGGAAUGCCACCUGUGCCUGCACCACACUGCUACUGGCUAGUCACCCCACGGGGACAGCCAUGGGGACAGCUGUGCAGUCUGGACGCAGUGACCCAGGGCUGACCUUGCAGAAGACAGGGAAGCUCUGGCACAGCAGAGGCAAUGGUGUGAAUGGACAGAGAUCAUCCAUGAGGAGGAAGAAGUAACCCCCCUCAGGGAGGACCUGGCUGCCCUGCACCAGCCUCUACCAUGACAGCCUCCUAGGCUGGCGCCUGGACCUGCCCUACUGGGGUGGCCGUGGAGGGUUCACCAGGUCCCCAGCACCUGGGCUCUGCCCCAUCUACCGUGAGUGAGGGUCAGAGGCUGGGCUGUCUGUGG